rnacentral:rRNA from 1 species
GGGCCUGCCCAGUGAUAUUUCAACGGCCGCGGUACUCUGACCGUGCAAAGGUAGCAUAAUCAUUUGCCCUAUAAUUAAGGGCUAGUAUGAACGGUCUAACAAGAAUGGAACUGUCUCUUUUAAAAUCCUUAGAAUUUGGUCUUUAGGUGAAGAAACCUAAAUUAUAUUGAUAGACAAGAAGACCCUAUCGAGCUUUAAAACAAUUAGUUAAACAAAUAGAUAACACUAACUUUAACUAAAAAUUUUGGUUGGGGCGACUAAGGAACAAACAAAGCUUCCUUAAUAAAUUCUACACUAAUAAGUAAUGAUCCAAAAUAUUUGAUUAAUAAAAUUAGUUACCGUAGGGAUAACAGCAUAAUCUUCUUUAAGAGUUCUUAUCGAAAAGAAUGUUUGUGACCUCGAUGUUGGACUAGGAUAUCCAAAAGAUGCAGAAGUCUUUAAAGGUUGGUCUGUUCGACCAAUAAAAUCCUACGUGAUCUAUCU